GACGAACGCUGGCGGCGCGCUUAACACAUGCAAGUCGAGCGAGAACCAGGACUUCGGUCCUGGGGACAGCGGCGAACGGGUGAGUAACACGUGGAUAACCUGCCCUCGGCACCGGGAUAGCCCGAGGAAACUCGGAUUAAUACCGGAUAGCCCUUCCGACUCUCGAGUCGGUCCGAAAAGGUAGCUUCGGCCUCUGGCCGAGGAUGGGUCCGCGGCGGAUUAGCUUGUUGGUGGGGUAACGGCCUACCAAGGCANCGAUCCGUAGCUGGUCUGAGAGGACGAUCAGCCACACUGGGACUGAGACACGGCCCAGACUCCUACGGGAGGCAGCAGUGGGGAAUCUUGCGCAAUGGGCGAAAGCCUGACGCAGCGACGCCGCGUGAGGGAAGAAGGCCU
rnacentral:rRNA from 1 species